rnacentral:rRNA from 1 species
UACAGAGGGGCAAGCGUUGUCCGGACUUACUGGGUGUAAAGCGCAUGCAGGUGGCUGUGCAAGUAUGCUGUGAAAGCCCCGUGCUUAACACGGGGAGGCCAGUAUAGACUGCACGGCUCGAGGACUGCAGAGGGUAGGGGAAUUGCUGGUGUAGUGGUGAAAUGCGUAGAGAUCAGCAGGAACACCAGGACGAAGGUACCUACCUGGGCAGUAACUGACACUCAAGUGCGAAAGCGUGGG